UUUAUCACAUAUAUUUAAUGCAUCGCAUUUUAUUAAUGGAAUGGAACAAACAAUAAAAUAAUUCAUUAUAAUAUUAAAUUGACAAUUGCAAACAUGACUACAGUGUAUUUACAGAAACUUAAACUAGUAAACGGACACAUUAUUUAUGUUUAUGGUAAAUAACUAUUUAUACACAUUUGAUCACUUCAAUGUUGUUUUUGACUUACUAUGAAUAUUAUUCUGAUAGCAUCAUAUAUGGUACCAAAAGUGUUGUAUGGUACAUUACACAGAUAUUUUAUGUAAUGCCAAACUAUCCAACUAGACAUCAAUGCGAGAUAUAAAUACUAAGAAUUAGUGCUACCUAUUGUUUGUUA